CGGGAACGACCGGCGCGGUGACCGGACCUGGUUUGGGACCAGGAAGCGUGGGGUUCGACUCCCCAGUUCCCGA
rnacentral:tRNA from 1 species